rnacentral:rRNA from 1 species
UUACCUGGUCUUGACAUCCCGGAGAACCCUUAGGAAACUAGGGGUGCUUCCAUCUGGAAGAAUCUGGAGACAGGUGCUGCAUGGCUGUCGUCAGCUCGUGUCGUGAGAUGUUGGGUUAAGUCCCGCAACGAGCGCAACCCUUGCCUUUAGUUGCCAGCAGUUCGGCUGGGCACUCUAAAGGGACUGCCGGUGUUAAACCGGAGGAAGGUGGGGAGUGACGUCAAGUCCUCAUGGCCUUUAUGACCAGGGCUACACACGUACUACAAUGGCCGAUACAAAGGGCAGCGACACUGCGAGGUGAAGCCAAUCCCGUAAAAUCGGUCUCAGUCCGGAUUGGAGUCUGCAACUCGACUCCAUGAAGUUGGAAUCGCUAGUAAUCGUGGAUCAGCAUGCCACGGUGAAUACAUUCCCGGGCCUU